rnacentral:lncRNA from 1 species
CUGCAGACAGCUGAUCGUGAUGGGGCUAAUAAGCUACAUCAAACUGAUCUGCCGGGAGCCAUCACAGGCAAAUCCACAAUAAAAGAAACGCAGGGUGGAUCAGCAGCAGACAUCAGAAACCUUCCCAGAGGAGAGGUUGCUGUUCCCCACCACCACACUCCCGGGCAGCAGCCGCAUACCAGAGAGGCAAAUCACACACCAGUGGUGCUUGGUGGUCAGAGUGCUUUGCCGUGUGACCUGGAAGGCGCGUUUGGAUGGGGGAACAGCCGUCUGGCAGCGAGGACAACGGGCGGAGAAUAGAGAGCACUAACAAAAGUGGAAUUUUCAAGAGAUAAAGUGGCAGCGAGGACAACGGGUGGAGAAUAGAGAACACUAACAAAA